UACGAGGGGGGCAAGCGUUGUUCGGAAUUAUUGGGCGUAAAGGGCGCGUAGGCGGCUGGGUAAGUCAAAGGUGAAAUCCCUCGGCUCAACUGAGGAACUGCCUUUGAAACUGUCCAGCUCGAGGCCGGGAGGGGGUGGCGGAAUUCCCAGUGUAGCGGUGAAAUGCGUAGAUAUUGGGAGGAACACCAGUGGCGAAGGCGGCCACCUGGACCGGUUCUGACGCUGAUGCGCGAAAGCGUGGGGAGCAAACAGG
rnacentral:rRNA from 1 species